UACGUAGGGGGCAAGCGUUAUCCGGAUUUACUGGGUGUAAAGGGAGCGUAGACGGCAGAGCAAGUCUGAAGUGAAAGCCCGCGGCCCAACUGCGGGACUGCUUUGGAAACUGCCCGGCUAGAGUGCUGGAGAGGUAAGCGGAAUUCCUAGUGUAGCGGUGAAAUGCGUAGAUAUUAGGAGGAACACCAGUGGCGAAGGCCGCUUACUGGACAGUAACUGACGUUGAGGCUCGAAAGCGUGGGGAGCAAACAGG
rnacentral:rRNA from 1 species